rnacentral:rRNA from 1 species
AUUGAACGCUGGCGGCAGGCCUAACACAUGCAAGUCGAGCGGAGCGGCGGACGGGUGAGUAAUGCCUAGGAAUCUGCCUGGUAGUGGGGGAUAACGUCCGGAAACGGGCGCUAAUACCGCAUCCUAUCAGAUGAGCCUAGGUCGGAUUAGCUAGUUGGUGGGGUAAAGGCCUACCAAGGCGACGAUCCGUAACUGGGCUGAGAGGAUGAUCCGUCACACUGGAACUGAGACACGGGCCAGUGUCCUGCGGGAGGUAGCAGUGGGGAAUAUUGGGAAAAGGGCGAAAGCCUGAUCCAGCCAUGCCGCGUGUGUGGAGAAGGUCUUCGGAUUGUAAAGCACUUUAAGUUGGGAGGCGUUACCAACAGAAGAAGCACCGGCUAACUUCGUGCCAGCAGCCGCGGUAAUUC